GUUUUUCUAACACUCGAGGAAAGAGAGAGAGAGAUAGAGAAGAGAAAGGACGAGAGGAGAGGGCUCGUUGGGUUUUGUGGAUUCAAAAGAGCUGUAUGUUAUUUCGAGCACCAGACAACAAAGAACUAAAAAAUUAAACGACACGAGCUGUUCGAAAAUGCAAACGUCGGAUAGCAAAUGGUGAUUGCGGAAAGAAUAGCCAUCUUGUUGAGUGUUUUCAUUGCCGAGCAGAAGGGCAACUUGGGGGAAUAAAAAGGUUGUCGAGGGGGGAGGUUCGGUGGUGGUGGUCGUAAUAAAUGGAAAAAAAAAGAUCACAAUACANN
rnacentral:lncRNA from 1 species